rnacentral:rRNA from 1 species
CCUACGGGGGGCUGCAGUGGGGAAUAUUGGACAAUGGGGGGAACCCUGAUCCAGCCAUGCCGCGUGUGUGAAGAAGGCCCUCGGGUUGUAAAGCACUUUCAGUGAGGAAGAACGCCUGGUGGUUAAUACCCAUCAGGAAAGACAUCACUCACAGAAGAAGCACCGGCAAACUCCGUGCCAGCAGCCGCGGUAAUACGGAGGGUGCGAGCGUUAAUCGGAAUUACUGGGCGUAAAGCGCGCGUAGGUGGCUUGAUAAGCCGGUUGUGAAAGCCCCGGGCUCAACCUGGGAACGGCAUCCGGAACUGUCAAGCUAGAGUGCAGGAGAGGAAGGUAGAAUUCCCGGUGUAGCGGUGAAAUGCGUAGAGAUCGGGAGGAAUACCAGUGGCGAAGGCGGCCUUCUGGACUGACACUGACACUGAGGUGCGAAAGCGUGGGUAGCAAACAGGAUUAGAUACCCUGGUAGUC